rnacentral:lncRNA from 10 species
ACAGAUGCUUUUACAGCUCGCCUUGGCGGGAAGAUCUGGCACAAAUGAAGUAUCUAUAAGGAGCAGCAGAGUCAAGGAAGACACCAGACAAAUGAGUUACACUGUUUUGGACUCCCCAACACAACCCAGCCACCGGCUGAAUGCCACCAAAUUACCUUCUAGUUAAAGGUUUAUGGAGCAAACGAAUCACCUAUUCAAUAUCUGCUUGAAUUUCUGACUCAAAAUACAUCAGGUAUAAAAUGAUGGUUUUUUUAAGCCACUAAGUCUUGGGGGAGUUUAUUAUAAAGCAAUAGAUAAUUUUGAAAAUAAAUAGAACAAGCUGAAGUCCCAAUAAGAA